CCAGAGAACCUUAGCAGAGAUGCUUUGGUGCCUUCGGGAACUCUGAGACAGGUGCUGCAUGGCUGUCGUCAGCUCGUGUUGUGAAAUGUUGGGUUAAGUCCCGCAACGAGCGCAACCCUUAUCCUUUGUUGCCAGCGGCUCGGCCGGGAACUCAAAGGAGACUGCCGGUGAUAAACCGGAGGAAGGUGGGGAUGACGUCAAGUCAUCAUGGCCCUUACGGCCAGGGCUACACACGUGCUACAAUGGCGCAUACAAAGAGAAGCGACCUCGCGAGAGCAAGCGGACCUCAUAAAGUGCGUCGUAGUCCGGAUUGGAGUCUGCAACUCGACUCCAUGAAGUCGGAAUCGCUAGUAAUCGUAGAUCAGAAUGCUACGGUGAAUACGUUCCCGGGCCUUGUACACACCGCCCGUCACACCAUGGGAGUGGGUUGCAAAAGAAGUAGGUAGCUUAACCUUCGGGAGGGCGCUUACCACUUUGUGAUUCAUGACUGGGGUGAAGUCGUAACAAGGUAGGCGUAGUGCU
rnacentral:rRNA from 1 species